CCCAUCAUAACCCAGCGACGGCUCUGCCUGCUAUUUAUGCCGCACACUCAAGACACCAAUUGUCACGAAUUUCCCUGCAAACUGUCAUAUGUAAGUGAAUGUGUUUGGAGGAAGCUGCGGCGGCGGCGGCGGCGGAGGGCGAGCGGCGGCGGAGGGAGAGACGCCACUUUCCAGCCGCCGAGCGAAUCCGCCUGGGCAUGAGGGGGACAUGACGGAGGAAUCUGAGCAGGCUCAGUUUAGCGACACAGUGUCACCACAACAGUGUGCGAGGGGCUCCGGCUGGAGGAAGGACGGAGGGAAGACUGAAUGCUGCACGGAGCAGAAGCUUCAUCCACCCCCCACUCGCUCGCGGUGAAUCCAGCGGUGGAUCCUCUGCUGUGGUCACACAUCAAAUUCUCCUUGACUUCUACGGACGGAGGCCAGGCAGAUAAAGUCCACAGAAACUGGAGAGCGUCUCACUUGGACAUUAUCGUUCAUACAUGCACCUCCUCCAGGAGAAAUACGGAGGAACUGCAGAGUUCAGUGCAUGUCUGAAAGCAGCUGUUUCCCUGCUUCCAGUCUUCAUGCUGAGC